UACGAAGGGGGCUAGCGUUGUUCGGAAUUACUGGACGUAAAGCGCACGUAGGCGGAUAUUUAAGUCAGGGGUGAAAUCCCAGAGCUCAACUCUGGAACUGCCUUUGAUACUGGGUAUCUCGAGUAUGGAAGAGGUGAGUGGAAUUCCGAGUGUAGAGGUGAAAUUCGUAGAUAUUCGGAGGAACACCAGUGGCGAAGGCGGCUCACUGGUCCAUUACUGACGCUGAGGAGCGAAAGCGUGGGGAGCGAACAGG
rnacentral:rRNA from 1 species